UACAGGAGGUCCAAGCGUUGUUCGGAUUCACUGGGCGUAAAGGGUGCGUAGGCGGUCGGGUAAGUCUGAUGUGAAAUCUCACAGCUUAACUGUGAAACUGCAUUGGAUACUAUUCGGCUUGAGAGUUGGAGGGGGGACUGGAAUUCUUGGUGUAGCAGUGAAAUGCGUAGAUAUCAAGAGGAACACCAGUGGCGAAGGCGAGUCCCUGGACAACUUCUGACGCUGAGGCACGAAAGCUAGGGGAGCAAACAGG
rnacentral:rRNA from 1 species